UUGUCAGAGCCCGGCGACAGCGGCGACAAAAUGGCAGGCGCGGCGGCCGCCCGGCAUGUCGGAGCCGCCGCCCGGCCGCCCCCCACAUCCCCCCCCACCCCCCCGCCGCCCACCGGUCGCUGAAAGGGAGAAGCCCGGCCCCGCUCCGCCGCUGCCACCCGGCCCGGCCCGGCCUCGCCGCCUUCCUCCCUCCUCCUCCUCCUCAGCGGCGGCGGCUCGGGAGGGGAGGACACAACAUGGCGCCGCGUCCUACUUGCGCUGCGCCGUGGCGCUGCCGACGCCAGGAGCGGCUCGGCCGGGAGGGGGGCGAAAAGGGGACCCGGCACCGGCCCGGUUUGAGGCGGCGGAGGGCGAGCGGUUCCCCCUCUCCCCCCGGCCCCCCAACAAUGAGCCCCGAGGGCCGGGCAGGGCCGCGCCUCGCCGGGGCCGGCGGCGUGUGCCGCUACGGCGGGCGGGCGGGCGCCCUCCUCCUCCUCCUCCUGCCGCCGCCGCUCGCCCAGGACUUUUUAAAGUUUAAAGAGCAGGUUACAUAAAUCUGCCCGCCUUUGUCCCCUCAGACGUCGCGCUGGCCACCGAAAAGCCGCGGGGCCGCGUUCCAGCCGCCUGCCUCCGCCCUCCCCCGGGCGCCUCCCGGAGAGCAUCUGGAGAGAGGGAGAGAGAGAGAAAGGGCGCGUUCAUGAGGACUACAAAGUUACAAAUAUGGCUCCCCAGUCUCUCCUGCCUGAUCACUGCACAGAAACGAAGACGCACUUCAAACUAAAGCCAUUCGCAACUCACUCGCAGCCUCUGCCUGCUCUCCCUGCCCAGCACCCAGUACAAAUAUUUGCGAACUAAACACGCCGGAGAGGAGCACCAACUUAUUUUUAUUUAACGCACCGCGAGCCCCCUUCAAUGCGGCUCACGCCGGCGGGGCGAGGAGCGGCCCCGGAGGUCCCCGUGCGUGUGUCCGUGUCCCCCGUCCGUGCCCCCCCCCCAUAAAGCACAAGGCGGGCGCCCCCCGAGCCCCCCGAACCGGGCACCGGGCACGGCCACGCACAGGUGUAGGAUGGAAAUGUAUGUAUACGUAACUACCUCUGUCGGCUGUGGAUGAGCUGGAAUGGAUGCACUGGACUGCUAAGCACGAAUUCUGCGGGAACGUGAGAGCUGGCAGAAAGGUCAAGAUGGAUCCAGCUUCAGGUGUGAACAAAGCUGGCCCAUGGGCUGAGGCUUCACGAAGGAAGGUCUGAUCUGGAGUUCGGUUUAAAGGCACAGGUGAAGAUCUUUGGAAAAGAACUUUCGUCAAGGAAACGGUGCCUAUAAGUAUUAAUUAAAUCUUUAUCAUGGGGGGGGGGGGGGGAGGCAGGAAUAAGUUUCUGAGAAUCUAGAGAUGCUUUUUUCUUUCCUUUUGCUUCCUCCCAAGUAAGAAUGUUUUCUUUAUAAACUGCCCCCCGUGAUAUAUCAGGGGAGACUUAUUGAAAGCUCAAAACCAAAGAGAAAUCUUUAAAGCUGUUGUUUUUUACCCUCUGCCCCAUGCAUGUAUACCUUGCUUGUAUUGCAAAGGUUUUAGAAGUCUUAAAAACUGCUGGAAGAACUAAAAAUGCAUGGGAAAUAUUCCAAAGGUCAAAUAUCAAAGUGCCAUCUCGCAAUGGUACAUGCGUUGUAACUAACAUCUUUGCAGAGUAUAGCUUUUCUUUUCUUAAAAACAAACAGUUUUAAUGCCCGGUCAGCUUUUUGGUUUUACUUUUGGGAUAUGAGAAAAAGUAAAUCUGCUUCAAAAUUGUUAUGACUGUGCCAUGGGAAUUCAGUUUUGUUCUCUCUGUAAUAGAGCAAGAAUGUGUUACAUCUUGAUGAAGCAAUACAAAGUCUUACUUGGGGAAUUCUCAUUGUCUGUUUCUAUGAAUAAAGCAAUCAACUCUAUCUGUUCUAGAUGUCGUUGAUUAGAAAUACUGCCUACUGACAAAAUGUGUGAAAUCCUCUCUUGUCAGAGUCCUUGUCAGAGCUGAGCAGCAAAAGUGAUCUGAGCUCUGCUUACGAUGGUGGGAAACUAGUCUUGAGGAUCCCUGGUCAGUCUCCUGUUGGAAGAUGAAAAUGUUCCCUUCUGGCUUUUAAAGUUUGGGUACCAAGAAGUUAGUAUUGUGACUAAUCACCGCAAUCACUACAGUUAAUACUUGAUUUUGUUUGUGGAUUACCUGUUUUCCAAUUUCUUUGUUGCUCAACGUAAUGUGUUGUUAAUUAUAUGACCAGCAGAUUCUAAAUACAGGUUUACACGUAAAAGCUGAUCACACGUCAGAAUCCUGGGCACACAUCAAAAAUGCUAAAGACAUUUACUGUAGAAGAAGCUGUUCAUUUGUUGCUGAGCCCGAGUUAAGUUUUUGUGAACUUCUGUCUGAUUAUCUUCGAGGCAUUUUCUGAUCUAGCAUUUAAAAACUCUUUAGUGUUAACUACAUUUGUCCCAUUGGGCAAUUUCAUCCAGGUUUUGUUUUGCUAUGGAUGGUCCCCCCCCUUCUUUUUUUUAAAGCUUGAAAUGCCAUUAUAUCCAUCUAAUUUUAACAAAAGUUUAAUAUGAAGGGCUACUGUACAUCUAGUGCGUGCAUCUCAUAAAUCCCGGGAGGAUUUCCCUUGUCUCUAACAUCAUCGGAUAGUUGAGCAUUUGCUAAGAAGAGCUGCCGAUUGUUCUUUUGCCUCUGAUAAUACUCCUUUGUAUAUCUGCUGGUAUCUUGUUUGUUCCUGUUGCAUCUACACAAUGCGUUCCUUCAUGUUUUGUGUAACAUCUUCAGUCCUUUUUUGUACGUAGAUACAGCAACAUGGAAGAGGAAAUUCUGUUCUUAAAUGCUCCCUCUUCCUGCCCUUACUUCUCCACCCCCAACCCCUCCAGUGUAGCUGGAAAAUGGGUCAUGAAGGGGAAUUGAGAGCAAUAUUGAUCACCGGUACCCAGAGUUCUGGGGAAAAGGGACAAAAAUGAGCAUGGGGAAACUGCGUGUGUUCUGACAACAUAAACUGAUGCUUUGAGACUCUAAAUCAACAUGGGAGUGCUAUAGGUUAGAAAAAUAAAUGAAGACUUCAAGUCAUUGGCUGAAAAAGCACCAAAGCUUACUGCCAUGGUGAGAGGCUUCGAUGUUGGUGGUGUGCCUUUUGUCUCUUGGUUGUUUAAAUUUCUCCUAACAGUGGUUAGCAACGUGCGAGCAGAGCGGUCAAGUCUAAACCAGAAGGGUUUUUGCCUAAUAUUAUUUACUCUCCUUUUUUUUUUAAUGUAAUCGCUCUUUUGAGUUAGGCGAUUUAAAGCAAUAUAUCGUCCAGUGCUGACUGCUGGGGCUGUUGUAUAACUCCUCUGGCAUAUGAGUGAUUCCCAUUGAUUUCUGCGUUAAUUGUUUGCAAAUGUUACAUUUUUUGUCACAAUAUUUUGUUUUCUAGCAAUGUUUCAAGAGAUAAGAACUGAGGAAAGGUAAUUUAAAGCCAAGUAUUUAAUGGGAAGUAGUUGUUUUAAGUUACCAAACUGAGAAGAGAUGAGUACUUGUUACAUCUCAAAACUGGCUUUGUUCCCCCUAAGCGUAGUGUAGACUGUUCCCUCCCGUUUUAUUCGCACAAUACCAGGCAUACUAGUGGAACCUAGGAAUUAAUAAUGUUUAGCAGGACGAGGAAAGAAAUGAAGUUUCACACGGUUUUGCUGAUUUACAGCCAUAGGCAGAUCAAUACACGCCCAUAAACCUUCCAUAACUUGUACACCAUUUUUUACAACAGUUUUCUGCAGGUCUUUCUGCAACCAUUUUUUUUCUCUGGUUUCUGGCUGCCAAAUAAGUUUUCUAUUUCUUGUACAAGCCACUUGGCGGACUUGUGCUAAUAAGAGAGGGUUCAGAUGAGUUUCACCGGUGCGUUUAGCAGCAGAUACAUUACAUAUUUUCUCUUUUUGUGGAAAGAACACUUAAUGGAUACUCCUCAGGUUAUCCCUCAGUGUUGGACAGGUGAUCAAGCUAUUUAUUCCUCACGUAAACUGGUGUAUUCCUGUGCAUUUAUCUUCUGAAGCAUUAAGCCUUUUAUUUUAAAGGUACGCUGACAUCAUUACAAAUCAGAGCUUUGUGUCUUUGAUACUUCGUAUUACUGCAAGGAAGAUUCCUGUACAGAGUUUAACAAAUGUUGUUCAGUUUGUGAAGAGCAAUGGCUCCAAUUUUUGCGUGCAUAUUACUUGUUUUGUACAUAAAUAUCCAGCCAUUCCAAUUGCUGUUGGUCUUCCUUUUCCAAGCUGUCCUAUCCAUAACCAACUUCAGAAGUCUUGUAAAAUCUCAUGAAUUAGACAUUUAUAAGCUAAAGAUAUUAGACUUUCAGGAUAAUUUUGGGGGAAAAGAUGUGUAUAAUAUGGGUUGAAGACAUAGCAUAGCUUUGUAGUCAAAUGAGUAGGCCAUGCAGCUUCCCUGGGCCAUUUGUGGAGAAUCAAAGUGCAAUAACUUGUUAGCUGUGAUGUGAGGGGUUAAAAAUAAAAUCAUGUUUUAUUUCUAAGCUGUCGUAAAUCUGCGUGUUGGUCAGCAGAGAAACAAGAAAAGAACUCGAGAUUCUCGCACCAUCCCAAUAAAACUCUUUUGCAAAAGCUGGUGAACUCGGCUGCGAUAUGGUAGAAUAAAACAGAAGCAGGAAGGAAAAAUCUCACUUUUUGGUACAAAAAGUUCAAGAAUGUGACGUAUCGAAAUUCAAAGCUAAAAAUGUGUUAAUAUAUUUUGAAACUAAGGUGGAAAACUAGGUGAAUGAUGAUGUCAAAAUGAAACAGUAUGAAAUAAAGCUGAUUGAAGGCAGUUUGCAGGAGUGAUUUAGUAGUUCCUGAAGAUGAUGAGACAUCUGGAGAACUCUGAAAAUACAAAAUUCAGAGAUUCUUGUCAAAGCCUUUAUCCAUGUGUGUUGGGAUAAGAAGAAAGUUUUUGUUCAGCUUUUUUUUUUUAAAAAAAAAAGUGAGUUUAGAGCAACAGGAAGGUGAUGUCAGGUAUUUAUAAGGCCUGCACACCAAGAGUGUGAUGCAGUUGAAGCUAAAGGAGCCUUGAUCCCCUAGGACUUAGGGAUAACUUCAGGAGCAUUUGACGAGUUCUACUCUAUUCAUGGGGAGGAAAAAAGGCAAUGUACUUGCAGUUUUUAUACUUUACUGAAUGAUUAGGUUUUGAUUUAGCAGAAGUACCUCAGAAGAACAGAGUCUAUUUUUUUUUUCUUGCGCUCAAAAUAAGAAGCACCUACUGUAGAAAGAGCGUAUUGUAUGAAAUUUGCUGCAGUGGAUGUGAGAGCUUUCAAGUCUGACAGUUUAAGUAGUGAAGAUGAAAGUGAGGACAGUUCUUGGGCAGGGGACUUCAAGAGGAAUGUGAUUCAUGGGACACAGUGACUAGCGUAAUUACCAGUGCAGCUGCUGUAGUAACUUCUGCCAGUACUAAAAAAAAAA